CUUUUUUUCUCUUUAGUUUGUUUCUCGUGGCUCUGUUCCUUUAGCAGUUAAUAAGUAUUUAGAUGAACUGAAUGUGAUUAUCAAAGAUAUUAGUAAACAACAUGAAGUUAUAUUCAAUCGUGUGUCUCAAGAUCAGCAAAAGUUAGAAGCUAUAAGGAAAGCAGCAGCUCAACAGCCCAUUAUGAAUACUGCUCCACAGAUAAGAAUACAACAACGUCCAAUGAAUAUAAGACCUGGGACAUAUGCUAGAGCAACUAUCGGUGGCAAGCAAUAUAAUAUUCCCUUACUAAAUAAUGUAUUUGGGAAUCAACCCCAGAGGUUUGUUUUUCACACUAAACCACCUGGUGUUCCUCGCAUGGCACAUCCUUCAAAUCCUCCAGCACAUCCUUCAAAUCCUCCAUUUCAAGCAUCAAAUUCGACAUCUUCACAGCCCAUAGUUACUGAAAAUGAUUGCUAUAUCUUACCAGAUAAACAAGCUGAGGAAAAAACAACUCAUACGUCAUCUGUUACAAUUGAGGAAAUUGAAUAAAUGAUUGGAAGUAAGGAGAAGGCUUUAAAGAAACAAGUCUUUGGUAAUUCUUCGUUCAUGCUGAAAAAUUUCAAAUCAUGACUUGAAUAGAAGUCUCUGUAAAUAAAUAAAUGUUUGUGGAGUAUUUACAUCAUUUGUUUAUAUACAUAUUCCCAUUUUUGGCAAUAUUCAUUAUAUCUUCUUUUGCAUAAGAUGUAUACAAGAUAGCCAUCAUCAGUAUUUUCUGUAUGAACUUUCAUGUCUGAAUCUAGAUUCGAUUCUCCAUGCUUUGAGUGUAUCAUCAUCUUAUAUACGUGUUACUUUUGUACAUGAAAAGUUAACACAUUUUAACUGAAAAUCAUCCAUGCAAUGAAACAUUUUUCUUGGAAAUAUUUUUAUAACAAUAUUCAGUUAUAGUAAAAUAUUUGCUUUUGUUUAUUUAAUAUCAUGAAUUUCUUCAUAAUAUAUAAUUCUGUAGAAGAGUUUUCGUGUGUGUUUCUAGAAUUUGAAUUUUAAGCAAAAAUUAUAUAAUAUGAAGAAAAUAGGUAUGUUAGGGAAAAAAAAUGUAUGUAAACUAUAUUACGAUUUUUACCUUGCAAUUUGCAAAAAUGAAAUUUUUGUAGUAACUUCUUUGUUUUAAAUUUUAUGUGUAGUGGUUAUAAAAAGGAAAUAUAAUUCCAUUUUUAGUGAUAAUUAACUCCCUAGCUACCUUUUUAAUUAAAUAUUGUGCUCAGAAAAUAGUAAUUCAAAAUAAAUAAAAAUUUCAGAUUAAAUUAUAACUUAAAAUGAAUUAAGUUAUCAUGAAGAAAUAUUCUGUGUGUUUUCAUUUUUAAUCCGAUCUGCGUUCUGUUACUAAGACCUAAUUUAAGUGUUUCAGUUUGUGUAUGUUGCCUUUUAGAUUGUACAAUGCACAAAAAAAAGGGGGGGACAGUUCUACUGUCUGUCUACGAGAAGAAUAGCUCCUGCCACAGUUUCUGGUGGGUGGUGGUCGCUAUAGCAACAGGGCUAGUAUAUUUCAAAUAGGGACAAAUCAGGUGUUGCUUUAUUGUUAUUUUGUUUUUGGCAACUGUUGGCUGGAGGAAAAGAAUUUAUCAUUCGUCCUUUAGACACCCCAAUGGAAAAUUUGUUGAGGUUCGUUUCUAUGGCAACAGACAGCUGUAGACUAACUGCCGAGAGUUUUCCUUAUGAUAGACAGACUGUACAUCUCCUGUUCUACUGGGCCGAUUGACAAAAUUCAAAUUGUGUUUGUCAUGUCUCAAAAGCGCGACUUAGGAUA